AUUGAACGCUGGCGGCAGGCCUAACACAUGCAAGUCGAACGAGUGGCGGACGGGUGAGUAAUGUCUGGGAAACUGCCUGAUGGAGGGGGAUAACUACUGGAAACGGUAGCUAAUACCGCAUACCAUCGGAUGUGCCCAGAUGGGAUUAGGUAGUAGGUGGGGUAAAGGCUCACCUAGGCGACGAUCCCUAGCUGGUCUGAGAGGAUGACCAGCCACACUGGAACGGAGACACGGUCCAGACUCCUACGGGAGGCAGCAGUGGGGAAUAUUGCACAAUGGGCGCAAGCCUGAUGCAGCCAUGCCGCGUGUAUGAAGAAGGCCUUCGGGUUGUAAAGUACUUUCAGCGGGGAGGCGUUACCCGCAGAAGAAGCACCGGCUAACUCCGUGCCAGCAGCCGCGGUAAUAC
rnacentral:rRNA from 1 species